rnacentral:rRNA from 1 species
UGAGUAAUGUCUGGGAAACUGCCUGAUGGAGGGGGAUAACUACUGGAAACGGUAGCUAAUACCGCAUAACGUCGCAAGACCAAAGUGGGGGACCUUCGGGCCUCAUGCCAUCAGAUGUGCCCAGAUGGGAUUAGCUAGUAGGUGAGGUAAUGGCUCACCUAGGCGACGAUCCCUAGCUGGUCUGAGAGGAUGACCAGCCACACUGGAACUGAGACACGGUCCAGACUCCUACGGGAGGCAGCAGUGGGGAAUAUUGCACAAUGGGCGCAAGCCUGAUGCAGCCAUGCCGCGUGUAUGAAGAAGGCCUUCGGGUUGUAAAGUACUUUCAGCGAGGAGGAAGGCAUUAAGGUUAAUAACCUUAUUGAUUGACGUUACUCGCAGAAGAAGCACCGGCUAACUCCGUGCCAGCAGCCGCGGUAAUACGGAGGGUGCAAGCGUUAAUCGGAAUUACUGGGCGUAAAAGCGCACGCAGGCGGUCUGUCAAGUCGGAUGUGAAAUCCCCGGG